AAUUUUAUAGCCAUCCUCAAAGAGUUUAAUGAAUGUGGUACCACAAGCAAAAUGUACGUCCACAUUGAAAGGAUUCUGAAUAUGUGGGCCUACUUUUCUAGAAGAUUGUAAUAAAAGCCACCAAAGCAAUUCUGGACCACUGCACAAAUUACAGGAAAACAUUCAUUAAAAUCUAUGUUAAUGUUAACGGCAUAAACAUCAUUCCAAAUAAGGACGAACACAAUGAACAUCCUGAAAUGAUCUCUGGUUCCCUUAAAAAAAAUUCGCUGCUCAGUUUGCCCCUGUGGCCGCUUGCCACCCCCAUGAUCACCACCUGUCCCUCCUCAGCGGUGCCAUAGUCCAAGAGGGCUGGAGACAAGGUUACUCUCUCUACCACCUCUACUGAUCAAGAGGAAACACAGCCUCAGAAAAGUUUUGAAUCAGCUCUAGUUACAAGAUUUCAAAGCUUGCCCUAUUUUAGUCUUGAUUCUUUUUUAUUCUCUUGAGAAAAAUGUAUCUCUGUGUGAUCAGAAAAAUAAAAAUAAAAAGCCUAAAUGAGGUCCAAAUCUGUUCAGAUAAUCACCGCAUUGGAUUAGCUAACUACAAAUAGGUCAGGAAAAGCAAUUAUAUAUAGAUAUUUCCAUCUGUCCAUGGAGCCUGGUGGUGCGUCCUAAGACAUACUGGUCUGAAUAAUUCUUCACACUCCACUGAUAUCAAAGGCUAUGCCCUGAGCAAGGAACUUCACAUUUUCAGGUCUUGGUUUUCUCAUAUACAGAAUAUGGGGUUAAACUAAAUUAUUGCAAAAUUCCUUCUUGUUCUGAAAAUAACAUAUUGGUAAAUCAUAUAACUUUGAUAAUGUUUGGAGUAUAGAAAAUCUGAAGGGGUCAAGCUUUGACUGAAAUGUUCAGAAAAUUUCUGAGCGCUAGAUGUAGUAGAAGUGGUUGAAGACAUUUUAUUGAAGUUCACUUUGAAGCCUUUAGGGGUGCGAAAUGAAACAACGUCGGCAAGGUGUGAAUUUUCACAGCAACUUUAUAAAGGUUAUCCCCAAAUAAAAUUUGUAGACACCUCCAUUUAAGUAAAAUAAAGCAAGAGGGAAUUAAAAAUGGGUGUUAAAAUGCUCCAUGUAUUUAUCUUUCAGAAUAUCCAGAUCUGCAUAUAAGAAAUUGGUCCAGGUGAAUAUAUUAGUGGAUAUGAUGGUUCCCUGGCCAGUCAGUGACCUACAUAAUCUAUAGACAUCUAACUAAUUUAAGUAAAUCAGUAAAGUGCUCAAAAU
rnacentral:lncRNA from 1 species